AUGGCGCCGGCUCCCGCUCGAGCUAUUGCAGUGGUGCUGCUCACGUUCGUCUGCUGUGGGUGCGCCAUGGCCGCGGACCAAGCACCGGUCAAAUGGCUGAGGGCGCACGCGACCUUCUACGGCGGCGCCGAUGCCUCUGACGCUAUGGGUGGAGCAUGCGGGUACGGUAAUCUGUACUCGGCGGGGUACGGUACGCGGACGGCGGCGCUGAGCACGGUGCUGUUCAACGACGGUGCGGCAUGUGAACAGUGCUACAAGAUCACAUGCGACCGCAAGCUGGCAGAUCCGAUGUGGUGCAGACCAGGCGUCUCGGUGACGGUGACCGUCACGAACUUCUGCCCGCCUAACAACGCGCUUCCGAGCGACAACGGCGGCUGGUGCAACCCGCCGAGGCCACACUUUGACAUGGCGCAACCGGCCUGGGAGAAGAUCGGCGUUUACAAGGGCGGCAUCAUCCCCGUCAUGUACCAGAGGGUCCCAUGCGUGAAGAAGGGUGGGGUGCGGCUGAAAAUCGAUGGUCAUGAUUACUUCAAUCUAGUUACUGUGAUGAACGUCGCAGCUGCCGGCUCAAUUAAAUCGAUGGAUGUCAAGAGCUCUGAUUCAAAUGAUUGGAUGCCAAUGUCCCGUAACUGGGGUGCCAACUGA
rnacentral:rRNA from 1 species